UACAGAGGGGGCCAGCGUUAUUCGGAAUUAUUGGGCGUAAAGGGCGCGUAGGCGGCUUUGCGUGUCUUUCGUGAAAUCCCUCGGCUCAACUGAGGACGUGCGGAAGAAACUGCAGGGCUGGAGUCCGGGAGAGGAGGGUGGAAUUCCCAGUGUAGCGGUGAAAUGCGCAGAUAUCAGGAGGAACACCGAUUGCGAAGGCAGCUCGCUGGGACGUAACUGACGCUGAGACGCGAAAGCGUGGGGAGCAAACAGG
rnacentral:rRNA from 1 species